UACGAAGGGGCUAGCGUUGUUCGGAUUUACUGGGCGUAAAGCGCACGUAGGCGGAUCGUUAAGUCGGGGGUGAAAUCCUGGAGCUCAACUCCAGAACUGCCUUCGAUACUGGCGAUCUAGAGUCCGGAAGAGGUGAGUGGAAUUCCUAGUGUAGAGGUGGAAUUCGUAGAUAUUCGGAAGAACACCAGUGGCGAAGGCGACUUACUGGACACAUAUUGACGCUGAGGUGCGAAAGCGUGGGGAGCAAACAGG
rnacentral:rRNA from 1 species